AUAGGUGAGCUCCUGGUUUGGAGAGCAAUGAACGACAUGGAAGCACAAGCAUUUCAGAGAGGCAGAGGAGUAAGGGUAAGAGGAGGACGAGGAGGCGGACGAGGAGGAGGAAGAGGUGGAAGGAGAGCAGUAAUCACUGAUGAAAUUCGGGCCACAGUGGUCGACCAUGUCGUGAACCAUGGUUUGACCAUGCAGGAGGCAGGCCAGAGGGUGCAACCAAAUAUUAGCCGCUACUCCGUUGCAUCCAUCAUACGGACGUUCAGGAGAGAAAAUAGAACUGAAAGAUUACCCCGGCGUGGUGGGAGGGAGCGUACCUUCUCAGAUGCACAGGAAACAGCAAUAGUCAACAUGGUUAUGGCAAAUAACGCAUUAACCAUAAGACAAAUAAGGAAUACAAUAAUCAAUGACCAAGUCACAUUCCCCAACAUUCUCACAGUUGGCCAGGCUACAGUGGACCGUGUUCUGAGGCGGAACGCACUAAGAAUGAAGCAGAUAUACAGAGUGCCGUUCAACAGAAACUCUGACAGAGUCAAAGAUUUGCGCCAUGACUAUGUGCAAAGAGUUCUUGAGCUAGAGGCAGCUGAGGAGUCGAAUACAUUUAUUUAUAUUGAUGAGGCUGGUUUCAACCUCUCCAAAACAAGGCGCAGGGGCAGAAACAUCAUUGGACAACGCGCCAUUAUCAAUGUCCCUGGCCAGCGGGGAGGGAAUAUCACUCUGUGUGCUGCCAUAAACCACAACGGCAU